AAAACGACUCUCGGCAACGGAUAUCUCGGCUCUCGCAUCGAUGAAGAACGUAGCGAAAUGCGAUACUUGGUGUGAAUUGCAGAAUCCCGUGAACCAUCGAGUCUUUGAACGCAAGUUGCGCCCAAAGCCAGUAGGUUGAGGGCACGCCUGCCUGGGCGUCUCGCA
rnacentral:rRNA from 1 species